rnacentral:sRNA from 1 species
UUUUAGCGGGGCCGCGUUAGGGAUUGCAGUGUAAAGCCCACAGCGCGUGUAGGGAUUGUGGGCAGGCAAAGCGAGGACUUGUAACGGAAAGCCCGGGCCGCA